rnacentral:rRNA from 1 species
GACGAACGCUGGCGGCGUGCUUAACACAUGCAAGUCGAACGGAAAGGCCCUGCUUUUGUGGGGUGCUCGAGUGGCGAACGGGUGAGUAACACGUGAGUAACCUGCCCUUGACUUUGGGAUAACUUCAGGAAACUGGGGCUAAUACCGGAUAGGAGCUCCUGCUGCAUGGUGGGGGUUGGAAAGUUUCGGCGGUUGGGGAUGGACUCGCGGCUUAUCAGCUUGUUGGUGGGGUAGUGGCUUACCAAGGCUUUGACGGGUAGCCGGCCUGGGAGGGUGACCGGCAACAUUGGGACGGAGAUACGGCCCAGACUCCUACGGGAGGCAGCAGUGGGGAAUAUUGCACAAUGGGCGGAAGCCUGAUGCAGCAACGCCGCGUGCGGGAUGACGGCCUUCGGGUUGUAACCCGCUUUCGCCUGUGACGAAGCGUGAGUGACGGUAAUGGGUAAAGAAGCACCGGCUAACUACGUG